rnacentral:lncRNA from 1 species
GGAGAAGGAGUUGGCCGGUUGGAGCUCUGGAGCAAGCCGGCGGCCAAUCGUCCGGGAGAAGAGGAUGGACGGCGGCAUGAAAAAAUGGUGCCCGCCAGGGACAAGUCUGCCCUCGGUAUAUUGCCAUGCUGUCGGGCCCCAGUGCCCUUGUGUGGCUUGCCAGGAUGGGUCCUUCACGCAGAUGGAAAACCUACUGUCCUUUUGUCGUCCCUGCCAGAUGUGUGACUCCGCCCCCCCGCGGUGGCGGCCUUGCCGUGGAGUAAGAGCAAACUUGUUGAUCCAGCUGAGCGCGGCCAGGUGGUGCUGCAGAGAUGCACGCCCGUCCGGAACACGCAGUGCGGCUGCAGGAGGGGGCAGUUCAGAGACAAUUUGGUAG